rnacentral:snRNA from 1 species
AUGAUCAUGCCUGUUGGUGCCCCAACAGUUAAGGAAGCUAUCCGUGAUGGUGCCGAAACUUUCCACGCUUUGAAGAAGUUGUUGGAAGCUGACGGUAAGGCAACAUCAGUUGGUGAUGAAGGUGGCUUCAGCUGACUUUGCUGACAAUGAAGAACCUUUGAAGUACUUGAUCCGUGCGAUUGAAGCUGCUGGUUACAAGCCAGGUCAAGAUAUCGCUAUUGCUGUCGACGUUGCCUCAUCAGAAUUGUAUGAUGCUGAAACUAAGACAUACAAGUUGCGUUGGUCAACAGGUGAA